GUGGGGAAUUUUGGACAAUGGGCGCAAGCCUGAUCCAGCAAUGCCGCGUGCAGGAAGAAGGCCUUCGGGUUGUAAACUGCUUUUGUACGGAACGAAAAGCCUCUGGUUAAUACCCGGGGGUCAUGACGGUACCGUAAGAAUAAGCACCGGCUAACUACGUGCCAGCAGCCGCGGUAAUACGUAGGGUGCGAGCGUUAAUCGGAAUUACUGGGCGUAAAGCGUGCGCAGGCGGUGAUGUAAGACAGUUGUGAAAUCCCCGGGCUCAACCUGGGAACUGCAUCUGUGACUGCAUUGCUGGAGUGCGGCAGAGGGGGAUGGAAUUCCGCGUGUAGCAGUGAAAUGCGUAGAUAUGCGGAGGAACACCGAUGGCGAAGGCAAUCCCCUGGGCCUGCACUGACGCUCAUGCACGAAAGCGUGGGGAGCAAACAGGAUUAGAAACCCUGGUAGUCC
rnacentral:rRNA from 1 species